GCAGCUUGGAGCUGAAACAAGCCGGGCGAGCGAUGAUGAAAUCGCUGGCCUC
rnacentral:misc_RNA from 1 species